CGGGGGCAACCCUGGCGGCGAGCGGCGAACGGGUGAGGAAUACAUCGGAACGUACCCCGGAGUGGGGGAUAACUCGGCGAAAGCCGUGCUAAUACCGCAUAUGCUCUGAGGAGGAAAGUGGGGGAUUCGCAAGAACCUCACGCUCUGGGAGCGGCCGAUGUCCGAUUAGCUUGUUGGUGGGGUAAUGGCCUACCAAGGCGACGAUCGGUAGCUGGUCUGAGAGGAUGAUCAGCCACACUGGGACUGAGACACGGCUCAGACUCCUACGGGAGGCAGCAGUGGGGAAUUUUGGACAAUGGGGGCAACCCUGAUCCAGCCAUGCCGCGUGCGGGAAGAAGGCCUUCGGGUUGUAAACCGCUUUUGGCCGGGAAGAAAAGGCGCCACCUAAUACGGGGCGUUCUUGACGGUACCGGCAGAAUAAGCACCGGCUAACUACGUGCCAGCAGCCGCGGUAAUACGUAGGGUGCGAGCGUUAAUCGGAAUUACUGGGCGUAAAGCGUGCGCAGGCGGUUUGUUAAGUCUGAUGUGAAAGCCCCGGGCUCAACCUGGGAAUGGCAUUGGAAACUGGCAAGCUCGAGUUUGGCAGAGGGGGGUGGAAUUCCGCGUGUAGCAGUGAAAUGCGUAGAGAUGCGGAGGAACACCGAUGGCGAAGGCAGCCCCCUGGGCUAAGACUGACGCUCAGGCACGAAAGCGUGGGGAGCAAACAGGAUUAGAUACCCUGGUAGUCCACGCCCUAAACGAUGCUCACUAGGUGUUGGGGAAGCGAUUCCUUGGUACCGAAGCUAACGCGUGAAGUGAGCCGCCUGGGGAGUAC
rnacentral:rRNA from 1 species